ensembl:lncRNA
CGCUUGUAUCAUGUCCUCAGUACAACAUGUCCCAUAUGGAAAGCUGAGGAAAGGAGUGAUGCUCGUAUUUCAUUGAUACAGGAUUCUGAAAGCUGGUUCUGGAGCAGGUACAACAGCAGUAAUCAAAACUUGGCCAGAUCCCAUCAUAACUCUUCAGUCCUGAUCUCACCAAGUUGCUUCUGUGGUGACUAUUCCUAUCUGAAGAUGAAUGGAUGCAUGUAUUUUUUCAGCUUGUUUUAGCUGUAUCAACCUUUGUGUCCAGUAGCUGUGACAAACAAAGGAAUUAAACCUCAGCAAGAUGAAAUAGUGCCUCAUGUGAGCGUUGAGCAGAAAGACAAGAAACAUGAAAUGAGUUCAGAAUAACAUUGCACGCCUCAAAAGAAUAUAAGCCUGGAAAGUAAACCUCUGUUGUCUUUCCUAAUAUGAAGAAAAUGAGCUAGCUUAAAAUUACUCUUGCCACUGUAGGUCAAACAGGAGACUAUGGAGAUGAGAUCAGUAUCCUAAGCUGGAGGGACUGCGCUGGUGGUUCAGCACUUCUGCAUGAGCACAAUUAAUUACAUAGGAAUGAUAAGCUGGAGACACUCCCAGUUAGAAGCAGUGCAGAUCAGAGAGAACAGCAUUCGUGUAAGAGGAUAGGACUUAACCACACAGAAGACCUGAAAUUUAUGGAUGAGUUUUCGUAAUUCUCUCUCUAGGGUUCUUUUGCAUGUUAGUAUUUCUAUGGCUUGUUUUGUGGCAUGAGAGACUCUCAUGCUGUUAUGAGAAUCUCAUGAUGAAUAUCUGCCUAUCAUGUCACAGAGAGAGCAUCAAUUACAAUUUUAAAUCUGAG